rnacentral:rRNA from 1 species
GGUUAAGCGACUAAGCGUACACGGUGGAUGCCCUGGCAGUCAGAGGCGAUGAAGGACGUGCUAAUCUGCGAAAAGCGUCGGUAAGGUGAUAUGAACCGUUAUAACCGGCGAUGUCCGAAUGGGGAAACCCAGUGUGAUUCGUCACACUAUCGUUAACUGAAUACAUAGGUUAACGAGGCGAACCGGGGGAACUGAAACAUCUAAGUACCCCGAGGAAAAGAAAUCAACCGAGAUUCCCCCAGUAGCGGCGAGCGAACGGGGAGCAGCCCAGAGUCUGAAUCAGCUUGUGUGUUAGUGGAACGGUCUGGAAAGUCCGACGGUACAGGGUGAUAGUCCCGUACACCAAAAUGCACAGGCUGUGAACUCGAAGAGUAGGGCGGGACACGUGGUAUCCUGUCUGAAUAUGGGGGGACCAUCCUCCAAGGCUAAAUACUCCUGACUGACCGAUAGUGAACCAGUACCGUGAGGGAAAGGCGAAAAGAACCCCGGCGAGGGGAGUGAAAAAGAACCUGAAACCGUGUACGUACAAGCAGUGGGAGCACCUUCGGGUGUGACUGCGUACCUUUUGUAUAAUGGGUCAGCGACUUAUAUUCUGUAGCAAGGUUAACCGUAUAGGGGAGCCGCAGGGAAACCGAGUCUUAACUGGGCGUUAAGUUGCAGGGUAUAGACCCGAAACCCGGUGAUCUAGCCAUGGGCAGGUUGAAGGUUGGGUAACACUAACUGGAGGACCGAACCGACUAAUGUUGAAAAAUUAGCGGAUGACUUGUGGCUGGGGGUGAAAGGCCAAUCAAACCGGGAGAUAGCUGGUUCUCCCCGAAAGCUAUUUAGGUAGCGCCUCGUGAACUCAUCUUCGGGGGUAGAGCACUGUUUCGGCUAGGGGGUCAUCCCGACUUACCAACCCGAUGCAAACUACGAAUACCGAAGAAUGUUAUCACGGGAGACACACGGCGGGUGCUAACGUCCGUCGUGAAGAGGGAAACAACCCAGACCGCCAGCUAAGGUCCCAAAGUCAUGGUUAAGUGGGAAACGAUGUGGGAAGGCACAGACAGCCAGGAUGUUGGCUUAGAAGCAGCCAUCAUUUAAAGAAAGCGUAAUAGCUCACUGGUCGAGUCGGCCUGCGCGGAAGAUGUAACGGGGCUAAACCAUGCACCGAAGCUGCGGCAGCGACACUAUGUGUUGUUGGGUAGGGGAGCGUUCUGUAAGCCUGCGAAGGUGACCUGUGAGGGUUGCUGGAGGUAUCAGAAGUGCGAAUGCUGACAUAAGUAACGAUAAAGCGGGUGAAAAGCCCGCUCGCCGGAAGACCAAGGGUUCCUGUCCAACGUUAAUCGGGGCAGGGUGAGUCGACCCCUAAGGCGAGGCCGAAAGGCGUAGUCGAUGGGAAACAGGUUAAUAUUCCUGUACUUGGUGUUACUGCGAAGGGGGGACGGAGAAGGCUAUGUUAGCCGGGCGACGGUUGUCCCGGUUUAAGCAUGUAGGCUGGUUAUCCAGGCAAAUCCGGAUAAUCAAGGCUGAGGUGUGAUGACGAGGCACUACGGUGCUGAAGUAACAAAUGCCCUGCUUCCAGGAAAAGCCUCUAAGCAUCAGGUAACAUCAAAUCGUACCCCAAACCGACACAGGUGGUCAGGUAGAGAAUACCAAGGCGCUUGAGAGAACUCGGGUGAAGGAACUAGGCAAAAUGGUGCCGUAACUUCGGGAGAAGGCACGCUGGUGUGUAGGUGAAGUCCCUGCGGAUGGAGCUGAGACCAGUCGAAGAUACCAGCUGGCUGCAACUGUUUAUUAAAAACACAGCACUGUGCAAACACGAAAGUGGACGUAUACGGUGUGACGCCUGCCCGGUGCCGGAAGGUUAAUUGAUGGGGUUAUCCGUAAGGAGAAGCUCUUGAUCGAAGCCCCGGUAAACGGCGGCCGUAACUAUAACGGUCCUAAGGUAGCGAAAUUCCUUGUCGGGUAAGUUCCGACCUGCACGAAUGGCGUAAUGAUGGCCAGGCUGUCUCCACCCGAGACUCAGUGAAAUUGAACUCGCUGUGAAGAUGCAGUGUACCCGCGGCAAGACGGAAAGACCCCGUGAACCUUUACUAUAGCUUGACACUGAACAUUGAGCCUUGAUGUGUAGGAUAGGUGGGAGGCUUUGAAGCGUGGACGCCAGUCUGCGUGGAGCCAACCUUGAAAUACCACCCUUUAAUGUUUGAUGUUCUAACGUUGGCCCCUUACCGGGGUUGCGGACAGUGUCUGGUGGGUAGUUUGACUGGGGCGGUCUCCUCCCAAAGCGUAACGGAGGAGCACGAAGGUUAGCUAAUCCUGGUCGGACAUCAGGAGGUUAGUGCAAUGGCAUAAGCUAGCUUGACUGCGAGCGUGACGGCGCGAGCAGGUGCGAAAGCAGGUCAUAGUGAUCCGGUGGUUCUGAAUGGAAGGGCCAUCGCUCAACGGAUAAAAGGUACUCCGGGGAUAACAGGCUGAUACCGCCCAAGAGUUCAUAUCGACGGCGGUGUUUGGCACCUCGAUGUCGGCUCAUCACAUCCUGGGGCUGAAGUAGGUCCCAAGGGUAUGGCUGUUCGCCAUUUAAAGUGGUACGCGAGCUGGGUUUAGAACGUCGUGAGACAGUUCGGUCCCUAUCUGCCGUGGGCGCUGGAGAAUUGAGGGGGGCUGCUCCUAGUACGAGAGGACCGGAGUGGACGCAUCACUGGUGUUCGGGUUGUCAUGCCAAUGGCACUGCCCGGUAGCUAAAUGCGGAAGAGAUAAGUGCUGAAAGCAUCUAAGCACGAAACUUGCCCCGAGAUGAGUUCUCCCUGAGACUUUAAGUCUCCUGAAGGAACGUUGAAGACGACGACGUUGAUAGGCCGGGUGUGUAAGCGCAGCGAUGCGUUGAGCUAACCGGUACUAAUGAACCGUGAGGCUUAACCUU